rnacentral:precursor_RNA from 9 species
GCUCACAUCUGAAGGGUUUUGUGUCGGCAACCAUGUUGGUGCGUCGUGGUAUGCUGAUGGUGUAUUCAUACCCGUAAUGCCAACAUGCAUGCUUGCACUUCCCAGAAAAUUUGCUUGGUU